rnacentral:tRNA from 1 species
CUUGGGUAGUUUAACAUAGAAUUAUAAUUUGUGGUGUUAUAGGUGAGUAGAUCUCCUCAGGUC